rnacentral:tRNA from 1 species
GCCCGGAUGGUCUAGUGGUAUGAUUCUCGCUUUGGGUUAUGAUAACACCAAUCUGCGAGAGGCCCCGUGUUCGAACCACGGUUCGGGCC